GACCGAGCACCUGGUCGAUCACAGCUGUUCUCUGAGCUCUUUGAGGAGACAGUGCAGUGCUAUGUAAAGCCAGUUACCCGAUCCUCUCUUUUCACAGUUCCUGGAAAACAGCAUGUUCUCUUUCAUCUUGCUCUCUGUGGUGACUCUGCCAGAAAUGCCCCCUGCUCUCAACCCUCCAGCAAAACUCGAUCCAUUUAGACGCCACCCUCACUGUCCCAGUGAGAACACCCCUCUCCCUUUCUCUAGAAUCCUGAAGCAGGUAUUUAUCAUCACUCAAGCUGACAGUGAUUGAGUGACUGUGCUGGGCUAAGUCGCUCAGUCGUGUCUGCCUCUUUGCGACCCCAUGGACUGGGGUCCACCAGGCUCCUCUGUCCCUGGGAUUCUUCAAGCAAGAAUCCUGGAGUGGGUUGCCAUUUUCCUCUCUGCAGGAUCUCCUGGACCCAAGGAUCGAACCCACACUCUUGUAUUGGCAGGCAGAUUCUUUCCAAGGAAGCCCUGGAAAAAGUUUAAACAUGGCUCAGCCUGCCCUGCCUCGAUGAGUGGAGGAGAGAAGAUGGAAACAGCCUUCUAACCACAAAAGCAGGAAGAAUGGGGCAAGGGCCCCCCUGGAAGAGCGUGGUCAAGGCCACUGGACUGAGAGAUGGAAGAGUGGAUUGGUCUUGUAUCCAAAUCAUUUCAUGAAUGUGAGCGAGUCUCUACCCUUCCUGAGUCCCAAUUCCUCCUCUGUAAAUGACCCAUGUAGACAGAUCUAAGGACAGCAAGUACAUAGCACCGAGCUACCCCUUCACAGAAAGAACAUCAGUCACAUGAUCCACAGACACAGCUUCAGAACAGUUUCCAGCACUGAGCUCCAGGCCACCGCUAGUCCAGGAAACCUGCUAGCUGCCUGCUAGGGUCCCUUGGACUGCAAGGAGAUCCAACCAGUCCAUCCUAAAGGAAAUCAAUCCUGAAUAUUCAUUGGAAGGACUGACGCUGAAGCUGAAACUCCAAUACUUAUGGCCACCUGAAGUGAAGAACUGACUCAUUGGAAAAGACCUUGAUGCUGGGAAAGAUUAAAGGCAGGAGAAGGAGGUGACAGAGGAUGAGAUGGUUGGAUGGCAUCACUGACUCGAUGGACAUGAGUUUGAGCAGGCUCUGGGAUUUGGUGAUGGACACGGAAGCCUGGCUUGCUGCAGUCCAUGGGGUUGCAAAGAGUCAGACACGACUAAGCAACUAAACUGAACUGAACCCCAAAUAAGGCAUCUUCUAGGUUCCCAUUAAGCUUCUUGGUCAUGAAGUCAGAAACCGGGAGAAGGUCCCAAAGAGAUCUACUCCCUGAACUCAGAAAUGUCUCAGACUAAAGAUUUUUUAGAGAAGCCAAACGAAG
ensembl:lncRNA